rnacentral:rRNA from 1 species
AGUGAGUGCUAGGCGGCGGGAGGUGUAAGAGGUAGGGUGUGAGCGUUUAGAGGUGUUCCGAGUCGUUAAGCGUGAUGAGGUGGUUUGUUAAGCGAUAUGUGAAAGCCCAGGUGUCAACAUAGGAAGAGCAUUUCGAACGGGGUAACUAGAGGCUUGUAGAGGGGGGUAGAAUUCCAGGUGUAGCGGUGAAAUGCGUAGAGAUCUGGAGGAAUACCGGUGGCGAAGGCGGCCCCCUGGACAAAGACUUACGCUCAUGCACGAAAGCGUGGUGAGCAAACAGGAUUAGAUACCCGGGUAGUC